rnacentral:tRNA from 1 species
GCCCACGUAGCUUAACUUAAAGCAUGACACUGAAGAUGUUAAAAUGGACCCUUAAAAGUCCCGCGAGCA